GACGAACGCUGGCGGCGUGCUUAACACAUGCAAGUCGAACGAUGAAACCUAGCUUGCUAGGUCGAUUAGUGGCGAACGGGUGAGUAACACGUGACUAACCUGCCCCUUUCUCUGGAUAACGCUUCGAAAGGAGAGCUAAUACCGGAUACUCACAUCGAGGCACAUGCCUUGAUGUGGAAAGUUUUUCGGAAAGGGAUGGAGUCGCGGCCUAUCAGCUUGUUGGUGAGGUAACGGCUCACCAAGGCGACGACGGGUAGCCGGCCUGAGAGGGCGACCGGCCACACUGGGACUGAGACACGGCCCAGACUCCGACGGGAGGCAGCAGUGGGGAAUAUUGCACAAUGGGCGCAAGACUGAUGCAGCGACGCCGCGUGAGGGAUGAAGGUCUUCGGAUUGUAAACCUCUUUCAGUAGGGACGAAGCGAAAGUGACGGUACCUAAAGAAGAAGCACCGGCUAACUACGUGCCAGCCGCCGCCGUAA
rnacentral:rRNA from 1 species